AGCAGUAGCCGCGGUAAUACAGAGGGUGCGAGCGUUAAUCGGAUUUACUGGGCGUAAAGCGUGCGUAGGCGGCUUUUUAAGUCCGUUGUGAAAGCCCUGGGCUCAACCUGGGAAUUGCAGUGGAUACUGGGUCACUAGAGUGUGGUAGAGGAUAGUGGAAUUUCCGGUGUAGCAGUGAAAUGCGUAGAGAUCGGAAGGAACAUCUGUGGCGAAGGCGACUAUCUGGGCCAACACUGACACUGAGGCACGAAAGCGUGGGGAGCAAACAGGAUUAGAUACCCCAGUAGUCCCUGUCUCUUAUAC
rnacentral:rRNA from 1 species